rnacentral:snoRNA from 1 species
CUUCACUGAUGAGCUCCUGUUGGUGCCAUUGUGUCUGAGCCACUGCAGCCUUGUGAUGGAGCUGAAGAGCUGAGGAG